UACGAAGGGGGCUAGCGUUGUUCGGAAUUACUGGGCGUAAAGCGCACGUAGGCGGAUUUGUAAGUCAGGGGUGAAAUCCCGGGGCUCAACCCCGGAACUGCCUUUGAUACUGGGGAUCUUGAGUUCGGGAGAGGUGAGUGGAACUGCGAGUGUAGAGGUGAAAUUCGUAGAUAUUCGCAAGAACACCAGUGGCGAAGGCGGCUCACUGGCCCGAUACUGACGCUGAGGCACGAAAGCGUGGGGAGCAAACAGG
rnacentral:rRNA from 1 species